GAUGAACGCUGGCGGUAUGCUUAACACAUGCAAGUCGAACGGACUCUUCGGAGUUAGUGGCGGACGGGUGAGUAACGCGUGAGAAUCUGGCUUUGGGUUCGGGACAACCACUGGAAACGGUGGCUAAUACCGGAUGUGCCGAGAGGUAAAAGAGAAAUUGCCUGAAGAUGAGCUCGCGUCUGAUUAGCUAGUUGGUGAGGUAAAGGCUCACCAAGGCAGCGAUCAGUAGCUGGUCUGAGAGGAUGACCAGCCACACUGGGACUGAGACACGGCCCAGACUCCUACGGGAGGCAGCAGUGGGGAAUUUUCCGCAAUGGGCGAAAGCCUGACGGAGCAAUACCGCGUGAGGAAAGAAGGCUCUUGGGUUGUAAACCUCUUUACUUAGGGAAGAACAAAAUGACGGUACCUAAGGAAUCAGCAUCGGCUAACUCCGUG
rnacentral:rRNA from 1 species